UACAUUGUUACAUAGUCCUGCUAUUUUAACUGUUUGGAUUCGCUUCUACUAUUUUUCAUUUUGUUGCAAUUGUAAGUAUUCACAUGUAUAUUUUCAUCUUCUGGCUGCAAAAGCUGAUGUACAUGACGCUCUUGAAAUUAUUUCUGCGUGUGAUAUUUACUGAUUUAUCAUGUUUCUCUUAUAGCACCUUGGUUGGGUGGUGAGGUUGAGAUGUCGCGCGGCAGAGUAGCCAACCAAGGCCUAUUAUUUUUGCAGUCCUAUUGAGGUUCUUCUCUGAGUAUUUCUUGUGUCUGCCGACAGGUUCAGACUUUCCAGUCAAGGAAUUUAUGCAUUUUCUUCAUGCAACAUACAUCCUGUGGUGUAACACACUCAUAUCUUGCAAGCUUUCUUCGAUCUAGAGAAUGGCAACCAGGAGCUCAAGAGCGACCUAAGGACCUCUACAUCAACACCGCGAUCCAGUUGGAUAUCGUCGGGAACAGGAAGGCCGUGGAACCACGUGCCAUGUCGCCUACACCUAACAUGCUAGGCUCGUCAGGGAGCUCGAGAAGAAGUACAGCGGCAAGACUUUAAUUGAGCAGAAAGCUCUUGGUGGUGGCUUUGGGGGAAUAUUUACCAUCUUCAUUCAUCUAAACAGUUAAGCUCUUGUGCUCUCUAAAUUUUGUCAAUUAGUAUCUGACAUAUCUUUAUGAUGGUCAUAUGCAGUAGUAUACGUAUGUAACACCUCUAUCGUUUAUUGAGGAGGUUCUUAGACCACUAAAUAUGUCAGCAUCAAGUGGGAAGUGGAUCGAUGGGCUCCAGUUCUCAUCUCUGUUCUGCCCUGGCACAUGAUGUGCAACAGAAACAGAACAGGCACAAACUUUGGUCUAUGUUGAGUGCUUUGGUCAGCUUACGUACGUGUGACAGCGAGCAAUUUCAGAAGGAUGUAGCUCAGCUCAUUUAGAGUUGAUAUCCAUCAAACGAAAAACGUUUGGUAGCUGAAGUAUCAAGUAAAAUAUGACUUCUGUGUGCAACAACUUUUAUUCUUCCUCACCCCAGAAUGACCAUGUUGUUGUACUCCAAUUCAUUCACGCGUCAUAGAUGGGAUACACUGAGUUCUGAAGAAGUACUCACAGAAGUAAGCCUUGCCCUGUUGAGAAAUUGUUAAGAGUUUUACCUCACCACAAUAGGCCAAUCUUCAAAGUUGCAGAAUUGAGCCCCUCACAAAUGUAUUUUUUCCUUCACAUCUUCCAGCAGAAAGAGACCCGUCUUGGGCUCUGCUCCGAGAUCGCCUCCGCAAUGCUGAGCCACGACCGUAGGCUUGCAGUGGUGGGGUUCGUUGUGGUCGGUCUGACCCUGGCAAGGUGUCAACACUGACGAUCUCGACAUCUCUGUACAAGCCUGAGGUAAACGAGGCAUCCCUGCUCUCAGGCUGGCCUACAACCUCACGUGAUGUAGGGUCUGCUCCUCUCAAAGGUGUCAUGUUAUUUCAUGAAAUAAUUUGUCUUGGGCUAAUGGUUCACUUCAGUUUUGAUCUCUUUCUAUUUCGUAGAAUAUCUUAGGCUAACGCCUUGGUGGAGACUGAUGUAGCCUGCUAUGUGGAUUCUGAAAUAGAUUUAUACAUGAAUGCUAAAGCUCCAUGGUGAAUCAUGGUUUUGUCUUU